CCUACGGGAGGCAGCAGUGGGGAAUAUUGCGCAAUGGGCGAAAGCCUGACGCAGCAACGCCGCGUGAGGGAUGACGGCCUUCGGGUUGUAAACCUCUUUCAGCAGGGAAGAAGCGAAAGUGACGGUACCUGCAGAAGAAGCACCGGCUAACUACGUGCCAGCAGCCGCGGUAAUACGUAGGGUGCAAGCGUUGUCCGGAUUUAUUGGGCGUAAAGAGCUCGUAGGCGGUUAGUCACGUCGGAUGUGAAAUCCCGGAGCUUAACUCCGGGCCUGCAUUCGAUACGGGCUGACUCGAGUAUUGUAGGGGAGACUGGAACUCCUGGUGUAGCGGUGAAAUGCGCAGAUAUCAGGAAGAACACCGGUGGCGAAGGCGGGUCUCUGGGCAAUUACUGACGCUGAGGAGCGAAAGCGUGGGGAGCAAACAGGAUUAGAUACCCUGGUAGUCCACGCCGUAAACGGUGGGCGCUAGGUGUGGGGACCCUUCCACGGUCUCCGUGCCGCAGCUAACGCAUUAAGCGCCCCGCCUGGGGAGUACGGCCGCAAGGCUAAAACUCAAAUGAAUUGACGG
rnacentral:rRNA from 1 species